rnacentral:rRNA from 1 species
UCAGUAGUCAUAUGCUUGUCUCAAAGAUUAAGCCAUGCAUGUCUAAGUAUAAACUGCUUUAUACUGUGAAACUGCGAAUGGCUCAUUAAAUCAGUUAUAGUUUAUUUGAUGGUACUUACUUACUCGGAUACCCGUAGUAAUUCUAGAGCUAAUACGUGCGUACAUCCCGACUUCUGGAAGGGACGUAUUUAUUAGAUAAAAGGCCGACCGGGCUUGCCCGACUCGCGGUGACUCAUGAUAACUUCACGAAUCGCAUGGCCUUGCGCCGGCGAUGUUUCAUUCAAAUUUCUGCCCUAUCAACUUUUGAUGGUAGGAUAGAGGCCUACCAUGGUGGUAACGGGUGACGGAGAAUUAGGGUUCGAUUCCGGAGAGGGAGCCUGAGAAACGGCUACCACAUCCAAGGAAGGCAGCAGGCGCGCAAAUUACCCAAUCCUGAUACAGGGAGGUAGUGACAAUAAAUAACAAUACCGGGCCUUUGGUCUGGUAAUUGGAAUGAGUACAACCUAAACACCUUAACGAGG